rnacentral:rRNA from 1 species
CUCAAAGCAGGCCUAUGCGCCUGAAAAUUCUUGCAUGGAAUAAUGAAAUAGGACUUCGGUUCUAUUUUGUUGGUUUUCGGAUCCGAAGUAAUGGUUAAGAGGGACAGACGGGGGCAUUUGUAUGGCGGUGUUAGAGGUGAAAUUCUGGGAUCGCCGCCAGACAAACUACAGCGAAAGCAUUUGCCAAGAAUGUUUUCAUUGAUCAGGAGCGAAAGUCAGAGUUUCGAAGACGAUCAGAUACCGUCGUAGUUCUGACCAUAAACGAUGCCAACUGACGAUCCGCGUUGGUUCUAUAAUUGACAUCGCGGGCAGUCCCCGGGAAACCUUUAAGUCUUUGGGCUCCGGGGGGAGUAUGGUUGCAAAGCUGAAACUUAAAGGAAUUGACGGAAGGGCACCACCAGGAGUGGAGCCUGCGGUUUAAUUCGACUCAACACGGGAAAACUCACCCGGCCCGGACACUGUGAGGAUUGACAGAUUGAAAGCUCUUUCUUGAUUCGGUGGUUGGUGGUGCAUGGCCGUUCUUAGUUGGUGGAGCGAUUUGUCUGGUUAAUUCCGAUAACGAACGAGACUUUAACCUACUAAAUAGUAGACUGGUCCUCUGUGCUCGUUCAGGGCGCGGCUUCUACUGCUUCUUUAUGGAGUAGUGUGGUCGUGAUCCGACGGGUGCGGUGCCAGUUUUUACUUCUUAGAGGGACAAGCGGCACACUUAAGUCGCACGAAAUUGAGCAAUAACAGGUCUGUGAUGCCCUUAGAUGUCCGGGGCCACACGUGCGCUACAAUGACGGUGCCAGCGAGCCUGGAAACCUGGCCCGAAAGGGUUGGGCAAACUGUUUCAUCACCGUCGUGACUGGGAUCGGGGCUUGCAAUUAUUCCCCGUGAACGAGGAAUUCCUGGUAAGUGCAAGUCAUAAGCUUGCGCUGAUUACGUCCCUGCCCUUUGUACACACCGCCCGUCGCUACUACCGAUUGAAUGGUUUAGUGAGGUCGUUGGAUUGGUGUCGUUGUAGUGGCUUUAUCGCUGCUCGACUGAUAUCGAGAAGACGACCUAAUUUGACUAUUUAGAGGAAGUAAAAGUCGUAACAAGGUUUCCGUAGGUGAACCUGCGGAAG